UACGUAGGGUGCAAGCGUUAAUCGGAAUUACUGGGCGUAAAGCGUGCGCAGGCGGUUUUGUAAGACCGAUGUGAAAUCCCCGGGCUUAACCUGGGAACUGCAUUGGUGACUGCAAGGCUUGAGUGUGUCAGAGGGAGGUGGAAUUCCGCGUGUAGCAGUGAAAUGCGUAGAUAUGCGGAGGAACACCGAUGGCGAAGGCAGCCUCCUGGGAUAACACUGACGCUCAUGCACGAAAGCGUGGGGAGCAAACGGG
rnacentral:rRNA from 1 species